UCCUAAGAAGAUUUAUUUGUACUAUGAUUUGAAUGACUUGAUAGUAUGCAAAUUUAUUUAUUCCAAUAGCAUAUAGAUUUAAUCUCUAUAAAAAAAAAAAAAGAGAGAGAAAACAAUGAAAUUUAGUAUGAAUGAAAAUUGUGAGUGUGUGUUUAUUCACACAGAAGGGAUGAGUUGACUUGUGGUACAUAAAAAUACAGGAAACCAUUAAAGGGGUUUUUGUAAAAAAAAAAAGAAGAUGUUUAGAAUUUCAUUUAGGGAGAAGAAUUUGGGAGGGAAAACAAAAUUGUAAGAAACAAAGUAAAAUCAAAACAUUGAGUAAAUUGAAAAGAAAUGAGAAGAAAAAGGGAAGUAACUAAGAAGUUUAAAAGGAAAUAAAAGAGAUGAAUGAACGACCCGGUCCAAAACACUAGGGCUUUCACUCUUUUGGUCGGAGUCUCGGAGUAACGCAAGCAAAUUCCUUGU
rnacentral:lncRNA from 1 species